AAACAUAUUACCGAAACUGUGGAUGAACCUCUUUAGAGGUUCGUGGUAGGAGAGCGUUCUAAGGGCGGUGAAGUCAGACCGGAAGGACUGGUGGAGCGCUUAGAAGUGAGAAUGCCGGUAUGAGUAGCGAAAGAAGGGUGAGAAUCCCUUCCACCGAAUAUCUAAGGUUUCCUGAGGAAGGCUCGUCCGCUCAGGGUUAGUCGGGACCUAAGCCGAGGCCGAUAGGCGUAGGCGAUGGACAACAGGUAGAGAUUCCUGUACCAGUGCUAAUUGUUUAACCGAUGGGGUGACACAGAAGGAUAGGGAAUCGCACGAAUGGAAAUGUGCGUCCAAGCAGUGAGUGUGAGAAGUAGGCAAAUCCGCUUCUCGCGAAGCAUGAGCUGUGAUGGGGAAGGAAAUUAAGUACGGAAGUUCCUGAUUUCACGCUGUCAAGAAAAGCCUCUAGGAAGAGUAGUACUGCCCGUACCGCAAACCGACACAGGUAGAUGAGGAGAGAAUCCUAAGGUGAGCGAGAGAACUCUCGUUAAGGAACUCGGCAAAAUGACCCCGUAACUUCGGGAGAAGGGGUGCUCUAUUAGGGUGCAAGCCCGAGAGAGCCGCAGUGAAUAGGCCCAGGCGACUGUUUAGCAAAAACACAGGUCUCUGCAAAACCGUAAGGUGACGUAUAGGGGCUGACGCCUGCCCGGUGCUGGAAGGUUAAGAGGAGUGCUUAGCUUCGGCGAAGGUACGAAUUGAAGCCCCAGUAAACGGCGGCCGUAACUAUAACGGUCCUAAGGUAGCGAAAUUCCUUGUCGGGUAAGUUCCGACCCGCACGAAAGGCGCAACGAUCUGGGCACUGUCUCAACGAGAGACUCGGUGAAAUUAUAGUACCUGUGAAGAUGCAGGUUACCCGCGACAGGACGGAAAGACCCCGUGGAGCUUUACUGCAACCUGAUAUGGAAUGUUUGUACCGCUUGUACAGGAUAGGUAGGAGCCGAAGAGACGUGUGCGCUAGCAUACGAGGAGGCAAUGGUGGGAUACUACCCUGGCUGUAUGACCAUUCUAACCCGCCACGCUUAGCGCGUGGGGAGACAGUGUCAGGUGGGCAGUUUGACUGGGGCGGUCGCCUCCUAAAGAGUAACGGAGGCGCCCAAAGGUUCCCUCAGAAUGGAUGGAAAUCAUUCGCAGAGUGUAAAGGCACAAGGGAGCUUGACUGCGAGACUGACAAGUCGAGCAGGGACGAAAGUCGGGCUUAGUGAUCCGGUGGUUCCGCAUGGAAGGGCCAUCGCUCAACGGAUAAAAGCUACCCCGGGGAUAACAGGCUUAUCUCCCCCAAGAGUCCACAUCGACGGGGAGGUUUGGCACCUCGAUGUCGGCUCGUCGCAUCCUGGGGCUGUAGUCGGUCCCAAGGGUUGGGCUGUUCGCCCAUUAAAGCGGCACGCGAGCUGGGUUCAGAACGUCGUGAGACAGUUCGGUCCCUAUCCGUCGCGGGCGCAGGAAAUUUGAGAGGAGCUGUCCUUAGUACGAGAGGACCGGGAUGGACACACCGCUGGUGUACCAGUUGUUCCGCCAGGAGCAUCGCUGGGUAGCUAUGUGUGGCAGGGAUAAACGCUGAAAGCAUCUAAGCGUGAAGCCCCCCUCAAGAUGAGAUUUCCCAUUUCUUCGGAAAGUAAGAUCCCUGAAAGAUGAUCAGGUAGAUAGGUUUGGAGUGGAAGUGUAGCGAUACAUGGAGCGGACAAAUACUAAUCGAUCGAGGACUUAACCAAAAA
rnacentral:rRNA from 1 species